CAGAGUUGCAAAACUCCUCAAACCAUCGCGAACGUUACCCGUAUCGUUGCCUCGGCGGGCGGCUCCAGGGCGGAGCCGCAGCCCCUUCACCGGGGCGCCCGCCGGCGGUCAACUGAAAACUCUUCUGUCAUCUAGGGCCUCUCUGAGUCUUUUUGUACUUAACAAGUCA
rnacentral:misc_RNA from 1 species